rnacentral:sRNA from 2 species
AUAUCAUCACAAGCUUGCCAAUGCCCCCGGGAAAUCAAUCAUUGGCGUGAUGGUCACAUUCCCACCCAACAGUGCCUCACCACCACAUCGGCACGGUGGCGCUUCCGUCUCCGCAUACCUAAUCCAAGGCACGGUGUUGAACAAAAUGAACGAUGAGCCGACGCGUGUCAUCGAGAAAGGGGGAACCUGGUUAGAAAAGCCCGGUUGCCAUCAUAAGAUCAGCGCCAAUGUGAGCGCGACGGAACCAGCUCUGCUACUGGCGACUUUUGUGAUUGAGACGGAAAAAGUGGAGAGGGAGGGAGCCGCAGCGCUUAUCCAGGUUGAUGAGGAGUAUAGUGAUAUGGUAUUUCCGGAGGCCAAGGGGGG